rnacentral:misc_RNA from 1 species
GAUGAAGAACGUAGCGAAAUGCGAUACGUAAUGUGAAUUGCAGAAUUCAGUGAAUCAUCGAAUCUUUGAACGCACAUUGCGCCUGCCAGCACUCUGGCAGGCAUGCCUGUUCGAGCGUCAUUUCAACCAUCAAGCCCUAGGCUUGCGUUGGAGCCCUGCGGCUGCCGCAGGCCCCUAAAAGCAGUGGCGGGCUCGCUAUCACACCGAGUGCAGUAGAUUACUCUUCGCUCAGGGCGUGUGGCGGGUUCCAGCCGUGAAACCCCUACUUCUCAAGGUUGACCUCGGAUCAGGUAGGAAUACCCGCUGAACUUAAGCAUAUCAAUAGCGGAGGA